AAUGGGGGCAACCCUGAUCCAGCCAUGCCGCGUGAGUGAAGAAGGCCUUCGGGUUGUAAAGCUCUUUCGGCCGGGAAGAAAUCGUGUGGGCUAAUACCCUGCAUGGAUGACGGUACCGGAAUAAGAAGCACCGGCUAACUACGUGCCAGCAGCCGCGGCAAUACGUAGGGUGCGAGCGUUAAUCGGAAUUACUGGGCGUAAAGCGUGCGCAGGCGGGUUUUUAAGACAGGCGUGAAAUCCCCGGGCUUAACCUGGGAACUGCGCUUGUGACUGGAAGGCUAGAGUACGGGAGAGGGGGGUGGAAUUCCACGUGUAGCAGUGAAAUGCGUAGAGAUGUGGAGGAACACCGGUUGCGAAGGCAGCCCACUGGGCCGAUACUGACGCUCAUGCACGAAGGCGUGGGGAGCAAA
rnacentral:rRNA from 1 species